UGGAGGGCGGGGAAGCUGUGAGAACCCGCUGGAAAAGCCGCGGGUUCUCGGCUACGUGGCGCCGCUGCUGGCCUGGCGCCGUCAGGCUGCUGGGGGCGUCCCCCUCUGGCCCACCCAGGGACGAGUGACUCGAUGCUCCAGGGUGCUGUUAUUGCGAGCAAGGGCACCGGCCCUCCGGCCCGAAGCAGGGCAGGGACACGAGGGAGAACGCGCCCUGUCCCUCCCACCUCCUCCGGACUCGGCCCCUGGAGGGGCUGACGCUGGAAGACCCGACAUCGUCGCUUCUGAUGUUCAUGGCUUUUGACUCAUGUUCAGGUUUGAAAUCUCUUACCCAGUUUAAGAACGGGAUGAACUCUCCUCGUUUAAAGGAGAGAAUGAAGAACCCUGAACGCAAAUCUCCAUCCUUGUCCCCAUUAAUCUGAGGCGGCAGGAAGAAUGUGGAGGCAAACCUGGCUCUUCUCAGUACUGUUCCAGCCACCCACCGCUCUGCCAUUCAGGAACUCUGCGCGGGUGCCAGGUGCCACGCACGGUGCUGCCCCCGCACUCCCCGCAAGCUGUGCGAACUGUAGGAAGGAGAGGCUGCUGGGGUGGAGAGCAGUAGGGAGAGACCCAUGUUCGGGGUCAGACGAGAGCAGCUUCAUGAAGUUCUGGGGGAGGCGAAGCAUUAUGACCAGAUGGAAAUGAAAGGAAACGGGAGACUCUGUAUUAAUAAACUAGCAGCUUUAUUGCCCUUUAGGGGCCAUGUCUUCA